rnacentral:rRNA from 1 species
UACUAAAAUUGUUGCGGUUAAAAAGCUCGUAGUUGCAUUUGUGCGCCGCGCUGUCGGURSUCGCGARGCGWAACUGGCARGUUUGCGGGGCAUAUCGUCGGUGAGCCGUCGCUAAAACGACGGUUCAAUAUGAAAAUCCUAUCGCGGUGCUCUUAACCGAGUGUCGAGAUGGGCCGACAAUUUACUUUGAACAAAUUAGAGUGCUCAAAGCGGGCUUUAUGCUUGAAUAUNCUGUGCAUGGAAUAAUAGAAUAUGAUCUCGGUUCUAUUUUGUUGGUUUUCGGAACCCCGAGAUAAUGAUUAAUAGGGACAACUGGGGGCAUUCGUAUUGCGACGUUAGAGGUGAAAUUCUUGGAUCGUCGCAAGACGGACAUCAGCGAAAGCAUUUGCCAAAGGUGUUUUCAUCAAUCAAGAACGAAAGUUAGAGGUUCGAAGGCGAUUAGAUACCGCCCUAGUUCUAACCAUAAAUGAUGCCAGCCAGCGAUCCGCCGACGUUAAUUCAAUGGCUCGGCGUUCAGCUUCCG